rnacentral:rRNA from 1 species
UACGUAGGGUCCGAGCGUUGUCCGGAAUUACUGGGCGUAAAGAGCUCGUAGGUGGUUUGUCGCGUUGUUCGUGAAAACUCACAGCUUAACUGUGGGCGUGCGGGCGAUACGGGCAGACUGGAGUACUGCAGGGGAGACUGGAAUUCCUGGUGUAGCGGUGGAAUGCGCAGAUAUCAGGAGGAACACCGGUGGCGAAGGCGGGUCUCUGGGCAGUAACUGAUGCUGAGGAGCGAAAGCGUGGGGAGCGAACAGG